UACGUAGGGUCCGAGCGUUGUCCGGAAUUAUUGGGCGUAAAGGGCUCGUAGGCGGUUUGUCGCGUCUGCUGUGAAAUCCCGAGGCUCAACCUCGGGCCUGCAGUGGGUACGGGCAGACUGGAGUGCGGUAGGGGAGAAUGGAAUUCCUGGUGUAGCGGUGAAAUGCGCAGAUAUCAGGAGGAACACCAAUGGCGAAGGCAGCUCGCUGGGACGGUACUGACGCUGAGACGCGAAAGCGUGGGGAGCAAACAGG
rnacentral:rRNA from 1 species